UUACGGCCAUAUCACGUUGAAAAACCAGUUCCCGUACGAUCACCGAAGUUAAGCAAUGAUGAGCUUGGUCAGUAUCUAGAGGGAUGACGCUUGCGAAUAACAGGUGCUGUAAG